UGGGAUCCCACAGGUCACUACUUUUCAAA
rnacentral:piRNA from 1 species